GGCUACAACGGGCUGCUCAAGUUCUGUCCUGUCUGGCUGCAACCAAUGUCCAUCUAAGAUGAGGGAGCCAAUGUCCAUCUAAGAUGAGGGAGCUGCUGCAGGAGUGAGAGGAACUUGCCUCACUGUCUUGUUGCUUGGAUGCAGAGUUUUAAGAAAGAGCAAUUGUAAUCUCUGCAAACAUCAACCUGCCUCAAGAUGCAAUGCAACAAAAGCGCUUUGAACCUUGAAGGAAGUACUGCUUGCCUGGCGAUGGUGUAUUAUUCUGAGUGAUGUGUCAUAACAGUGCGAUGAUGAUGAUGUUGCCACUUACACAGCGUACAAAAACAGAUGCCUGCCAUGAUACGUGAAGACAAUACACCACACAGAUUCCUGUUAAUGAGGUAACCUGUCAGGAAUUCUUGAAGCAUAACAAUAGAACAAAAAACUUUUCCUUUAUGCAUAUGUGCAUGGCAAUAAAAUAA